GACAGAGGUGGCAAGCGUUGUUCGGAUUUACUGGGCGUAAAGAGCGCGCAGGCGGUCGUUCAAGUCGAGUGUGAAAGCCCCCGGCUCAACUGGGGAGGGUCAUUCGAUACUGAUCGACUGGAAGGCAGGAGAGGGAAGCGGAAUUCCCGGUGUAGUGGUGAAACGCGUAGAUAUCGGGAGGAACACCAGUGGCGAAGGCGGCUUCCUGGCCUGUUCUUGACGCUGAGGCGCGAAAGCUAGGGGAGCAAACGGG
rnacentral:rRNA from 1 species